rnacentral:rRNA from 1 species
GACGAACGCUGGCGGCGCGCUUAACACAUGCAAGUCGAACGGAAAGGCCUGCUUUCCCUUGUGGAUUGCGGGUACUCGAGUGGCGAACGGGUGAGUAACACGUGAGUGAUCUGCCCCCAACUUGGGUAUAAGCCUGGGAAACUGGGUCUAAUUCCCGAUAGGACUGCAGGGUGGUGCCUGUGGUGGAAAACGAUUUUCUAGUGGUUGGGGAUGAGCUCGCGGCCUAUCAGCUUGUUGGUGGGGUAAUGGGCUACCAAGGCGGCGACGGGUAGCCGGCCUGGGAGGGUGGACGGGCACAUUGGGACUGAGAUAAGGCCCAGAAUCCUACGGGAGGCAGGAGUGGGGAAUAUUGGACAAUGGGCGGAAGCCUGAUGCAGGGACGCCGCGUGGGGGAUGACGGCCUUCGGGUUGUAAACCCCUUUCGACCGCGAGGAAGCCACCUGGUUGGAAGGGUGGUGACGGUAGUGGUAGAAGAAGCACCGGCUAACUACGUG